GCUUGUCUCAAAGAUUAAGCCAUGCAUGUCUAAGUGUAAAUAAGUCUAUACUGUGAAACUGCGAAUGGCUCAUUAAAUCAGUUAUCGUUUAUUUGAUGAUCUCUUACUACUUGGAUAACCGUAGUAAUUCUAGAGCUAAUACAUGCACAAAAUCCCGACUUACGAAGGGAUGUAUUUAUUAGAUACAAACCAACAUCGUGGUGAUUCAUAAUAACUUUGCGAAUCGUAUGCCUCACGGCGACGAUGAAUCAUUCAAAUUUCUGCCCUAUCAACUUUCGAUGGUAGUCGCCGUGCCUACCAUGGUGACCACGGGUGACGGGGAAUCAGGGUUCGAUUCCGGAGAGGGAGCCUGAGAAACGGCUACCACAUCCAAGGAAGGCAGCAGG
rnacentral:rRNA from 1 species